ensembl:rRNA 5S_rRNA 5S ribosomal RNA
GUCUACAGCCAUACCACCCUGAACGUGCCCGAUCUCAUCUGAUCUCGGAAGAUAAGCAGGGUCGGGCCUGGUUAGUACUUGGAUGGGAGACAACACAUGUAAAAUACCAUCUACCAAGAAGAUUCAGUAGACU